rnacentral:lncRNA from 1 species
GGUUAAACCAUCUCCGGCUUGUGUUCAUGAAUAAUGUAAGACCACGAGAGAUAUGUGGGAUCUUAAACAAGGAAAGUCAUCCCUUUAUUCCCCUGCUGUACCGCUGGAGUCUGACUUCAUCAUUGUCUUGUCAGGUAUGUGGACGGGAUCGAGACAGAAAACCAGAGGGGUUCAGCCCGGAAGUUCGAUUUUUCUCCCAGUGCAACUCAGAGUUUCCUGCCCAGCCCUGAUUCAGCUGCUUUAGGUUAACACACACACACACACACACACACACACACACACACACACACACGCCUAUUCUUUAUUAUCAGCUGCUGAUGUCCUCACUGUGAAUAUAUAUAUAUAUAUAUACAUGUGUGUAUUUCUAUAUGUGUCUGCAGGACUCCAUGAUGAGGCUGACACCAUGCAGACUAUUGCUAAGCUGAAACAUGAGAUGAGCGUCCUCUCCCGUCAGGUGACAGCUGUCAGUCAGGAGCUGCAGGAAAUGACGUGUCUUCUCAAACCGCUCUUCCGUAACCCCUCCGCGCUGCUGCUGCCCAGCACUGUGACUCCGCCUCCCAGCGUGUCAUUACACGGCUGCUCCUCAGCCCCACCCGUUCUGAUCCAACGUGCACCUGUGGACUGUUCGGACAAUCCUCUAACCGAACCUCAGCCGAGCAUGACGACAGUGUUACAAGGAGAGUUUGAUCCGCUUCAGUGUGCACCCAUCACCUCCCAUAAUCCUCCAGUUCCUCAUCAUUGCUCAGCUCCCCCGUCUCUCAACAGCUCUCCCCACGAGCACACAGUGGUGCCACAUCCCUGCUCCUCCAACCCCUCUCUUUCUUCAUCCAUCACUCCCCUUUUGGUGGACUUAUCAGGUCCUGAUAGUGAGCAGCAUCAAUCACACCUCCUGUCCCAGCCCGAGUCCCAGCUCAUAUCCCGCUUCUAUCCCCAUUCCCUCUCCCAGCCUCCGCUCCAGCCCUCCAGCAUGACCUCACACCCCCGGGACGCCCUCCUGCAGGAGGCGGAGUGGGGCGAGCACACCGCCCAGCUCAGCUUCAUCAAUGAAGCUCAGCCCUCGGUGUGACACACAGGACCGACGGACAGGACCGACCAGCAUGCUGCACACAACUUACUGCAUGACAAACAUUUGUCCAAAGUUUGGCAUGUGAGUUAAGAUGUAAAUACAUCGAUUUACAACUGUUCCAUGAGCACCAGCUGUACGCAGAUGUGAUAAUAAAAUAGUUUGUUUUACAGUUU